UUUCUUUCUCACUCCCUCAAUCCAACCAUGUCGAAGACCGUUGAGGAGGUCCGAAAGGCCCAGCGCGCCCAGGGUCCGGCCACCAUCCUUGCCAUCGGCACGGCCACCCCCUCCAACGUCAUCUACCAGUCCGACUAUCCGGACUACUAUUUCCGCAUCACCCAGAGCGAGCAUCUCACCGACCUCAAGGAGAAAUUCAAGAGGAUGUGCGACAAGUCUAUGAUCAGAAAACGCUACAUGCACCUGAACGAGGAGAUCCUGAAAGAGAACCCGAAUAUGUGCGCCUACAUGGCUCCCUCCUUGGACGCACGCCAGGAUAUGGUGGUAGUCGAGGUCCCCAAGCUCGGCAAGGAAGCCGCCGCUAAGGCCAUCAAAGAGUGGGGGCAGCCCAAGUCCAAGAUCACACACCUCAUCUUCUGCACCACCAGCGGCGUCGACAUGCCGGGUGCCGACUACCAGCUCACCAAGCUCCUCGGCCUCCGCCCCUCCGUCAACCGCUUCAUGAUGUACCAGCAGGGCUGUUUCGCUGGUGGCACGGUUCUCCGCCUCGCCAAGGAUCUCGCUGAGAACAACCGUGGUGCUCGUGUUCUCGUUGUCUGCUCUGAGAUCACUGCAGUCACUUUCCGUGGGCCGUCAGAAUCACACCUCGACAGUCUAGUCGGACAGGCACUCUUCGGGGAUGGGGCUGCUGCC
rnacentral:misc_RNA from 1 species